UAGGAUCCAACCCGCAUGCCAGUG
rnacentral:misc_RNA from 1 species